rnacentral:rRNA from 1 species
UGGAGGCAGCAGUGGGGAAUAUUGGACAAUGGGCGAAAGCCUGAUCCAGCCAUGCCGCGUGUGUGAUGAAGGCCUUAGGGUUGUAAAGCACUUUUGUCCGGGAAGAUAAUGACUGUACCGGAAGAAUAAGCCCCGGCCAACUUCGUGCCAGCAGCCGCGGUAAUACGAAGGGGGCUAGCGUUGCUCGGAAUCACUGGGCGUAAAGCGUACGUAGGCGGAUUAUUAAGUCGGAGGUGAAAGCCUGGGGCUCAACCCCAGAAUUGCCUUCGAUACUGAUAGUCUCGAGUUUGGAAGAGGUUGGUGGAACUCCGAGUGUAGAGGUGAAAUUCGUAGAUAUUCGGAAGAACACCAGUGGCGAAGGCGGCCAACUGGUCCAAUACUGACGCUGAGGUGCGAAAGCGUGGGGAGCAAACAGGAUUAGAAACCCCGGUAGUCCG